GACGAACGCUGGCGGCGUGCCUAAUACAUGCAAGUCGAGCGCAGGAAACUGACGGAACUCUUCGGAGGGAAGGCAGCGGAAUGAGCGGCGGACGGGUGAGUAACACGUAAGGAACCUGCCUCAAGGAUUGGGAUAACUCCGAGAAAUCGGAGCUAAUACCGGAUAGUUCAUCGGACCGCAUGGUCCGUUGAUGAAAGGCGCUCCGGCGUCACCUUGAGAUGGCCUUGCGGUGCAUUAGCUAGUUGGUGGGGUAAUGGCCCACCAAGGCGAAGAUGCAUAGCCGACCUGAGAGGGUGAUCGGCAACACUGGGACUGAAACACGGCCCAGACUCCUACGGGAGGCAGCAGUAGGGAAUCUUCCACAAUGGACGAAAGUCUGAUGGAGCAACGCCGCGUGAGUGAUGAAGGUUUUCGGAUCGUAAAACUCUGUUGUAAGGGAAGAACACGUACGAGAGGGAAUGCUCGUACCUUGACGGUACCUUACGAGAAAGCCACGGCUAACUACGUGCCAGCCGCCGCCGUAACAC
rnacentral:rRNA from 1 species